CAAAGGGGAAGCUCUGAUUGUCACAUUGAAUUGCUUGCCAACCCUUUGGUAAGCCUUGGCGGGCUUCCAGCUCCGUCCUGCCCCAGUCUGACCUCUGGAGCCUGUGAGUGCUGGCACACUCCGAGUACUCGAUGGCAUGAAUGGCCAGUGGCCAGCGCCAUCUGAAACUUCAGUCAACUUGAUACCAAAGGUUAAUCUCGUCCACGUGAAUCACGUCAUCUGUAAUUUGUAGCACGUACUUUCUAGCGAAACCCUUUUUCCCUAUGAGACCUGUUGGUUCCUGUUUUUAGCUAUGGCUCACAGACCUCUUUAAUUUAUGAACUCUCCUUUUUUGUUUGGUGUUUGCUUUUAAAUAUUUUAAAAUUAUAGUUGGUUUACAAUGUUCUGUCAAUUUCUGCCGUACAGCAAAGUGACCCCAUCAUACUUAUAGAUACAUUCUUUUUCUCACAUUAUGCUCCAUCACAAGUGACUAGAUACAGUUUCCCAGUGCUAUACCGCAGGAGCGCAUUGCUUAUCCACUCCAGAUGAAAUAGUUCCUAUCUACUAACCCCAAACUUCUAGUCCAUUUCACUCCCUCCCUCUCCCCGUUGGCAACCUCAGGUCUGUUCUCCAUGUCCAUGAGUUUCUUUUCUGUAGAUAGGCUCAUUUGUGCCAUAUAUUAGAUUCCAGAUAUAAGGGGUAUCAUAUGGUGUUUGUCCUCUUUCUGACUUACUCACUUAGCAUGAGAAUCUCCAGUUCCAUCCACAUUGCUGCAAGUGGCAUUAUUUUGUUGUUUUCUUAUGGCUGAGUAUAUUCCAUAGAAGUGUAUAUAUCACAUCUUCUUAACGCAUUCAUCAAUCAAUGGACAUUUGGGUUGUUUCCAUGUCUUGGCCAUUGUGAAUAGUGCUGCAAUGAACAUAAGAGUGCAUGUGUCUUUUUCUUUUUCUUUCUUUCUUUCUUUUUAUUACUCAAUGAAUUUAUCGCAUGUGUCUUUUUCAAGGAAAGUUUUGUCCGAUAUAUGCCCAGGAAUGGGAUUGCUGGAUCAUAUGGUAUGAAUUCUCCUUUUUUGUUUGUUUGUUUGUUUCAUUUUUGUCUUUUUAGGGCCACACCUGCGGCAUAUGGAAGUUCCUAGGCUAGGGGUCGAAUUGGAGCUACAGCUGCCAGCCUACACCACAGCCAACACCAGAUCCAACACCAGAUCCAAGCCUUGUCUGCGACCUACACCACAGCAACGCUGGAUCCUCAACCCACUGAGCGAGACCCAGGAUUGAACCUUUGUCCUCAUGGAUACUAGCUGGAUUCAUUUCCACUGCGCCAUAGUGGGAACUCCCGGUAGCUUUUUUUCCCCUCUCUUUUCUUAUAGAUCUAGUCUCACAGAUUCCUCAGUCUUGGACAGAUUGCAUUCAUGGUUUUCUCUAGUGGGAGAAGUUAACAUAAUUCCAUUUUUCUUUUUAAAAAAUUUUUUAAAAAUUCAAUAGAAUUUUCAAAGCUUACUUUCCAUUUAGCAGUUAUUACAUAAUAUUGGCUCUAUUCCUCGUGUGGUACAGUACAUCCUUGAGACUGUCUUACACUCAGUAGCUGGCCUCACCCACUCCCCCACUCCCGUUUGCCCCCCACUAGUAACCUCAGGUUUUUCUCUGUAUCUGAGAGUCUGCUUCUCUUCUGUUAUAUUCACUAGUUUGCUGUAUUUUUCAGAGUAUUCCGUUUUUCUUGCAUGUCGCACCCAGGUUUGGACAUGUUUACAUGAGGGGCAGGAGUGCUUUUUAGACUUUCCUUUCCUCUGAGCAAAGGGAAAUGGGAGCGUGAGAGGAUCGCGCAAACAGCUCGUGAUUUUUCCCAGUCCCUCAGGGGGAGGCUGUAGGGUAUUUUAUUAACGGAGCCUGUCCUGCUCUAGCUCAUCCAGGAUGAUCAAAAUCCUCAUUCAGAAAAGCAGUGAGUCAGCUCGGACCGUUCCCCACUUCAAUAAAACAAGCCUGUUUUCUUCUCUAACUUCCUUUUUCUGUAUACGGCUUCUCCGUCCCUUGGAGUUUGCCUCUGAUCUCUGUCUGAUGUGCCUGUGGCUUUAAGGCCGUUUUAGGAGCCAGUGUGACAGGGGGAUGGUGGCAGGUGAACAGUGAUGGCCAGUUGCCUCCUUUAUAUUUCUCCACAGAAAGCUGGAGAAUCCAAUAAGAAGAAACGACUAGAGCCAGUGAUUUUUUAUCUGAAGUGUCAUCCUGUGUUACUCUCUCCCUGCCCUGAAGGGGAGCAUAGGGUAGAGGUCCUUUCCAGAAUGUGCUAGAGGGAUGCCCCCGCACAGUUGUGCAGAGAUUACCAGAGCGAACCUCGGGCAGGCGUCCCUAGGUCUGAAUCUCAUGUUCACCUGUUGCUGGUCACCCAGUGGUCUAGGGCAAGUCUCUGAGCCUCUUUAAGCUUUAAUAGUUAGGGUCAUUAAAACGUGAAUGAGGAUUCUCUUCUUAUAGGUGUCUGUGAAAAUUCAAUAAUUUUCACACUGUGGCUUAGCAGGGUGAGGACAUGACAUUGUGUCUGUGAGGAUGUGGGUUCAAUCCCUGGCCUCGCUAAAUAGGUUAAGGAUCUGGUGUUGCCAUAAACGGUAGUGUAGGUGGCAGGUGUGGCUGCGAUUCGACCCCUAGCCCGGGAACGUCCAUAUGCCACAGGUGCGGCCCUAAAAAGCAG
ensembl:lncRNA